rnacentral:piRNA from 1 species
UUGCUGUGAUGACAAUCUUAGGACACCUUU